GACUUGGCAACACGACCGACACCAAAAACUUAGGGUGAUCUGUGAAACAGAUAUUUGAAAUGGUCAACCAACUCGUGAUGGCGUCCGUUACCCUAUGUAGGGAUGACUUCAACUUCACCAUUUGAUACUAUUGGUUUGCUUGCUCCCUUGUGUUCAGCACAUUUUAUUAGUCUGAAAUAAAAGAAUGUCUAUGCAAUUGUUUUGGCUUACAUGGGACUACUGACGUCUUUGUGGCAUAUAAGAC
rnacentral:lncRNA from 1 species